rnacentral:sRNA from 1 species
GAUAUAAUUUUGAAGAAUGGCUCAGUAUUCUAGUCAGUAUAUCUAUUCUUGAGGGCGGGCCUAAAAAUCCGUCAAAGGGCAAAUCGAUGAAGUUUCUGGUUUUGGCUUUCGACGCCCAGUCGAGGGUCUUUUCUGGGAGUAAGGUAGAUGGGGCGAUCCACAACGGCAUGUGGGCGUGGACCCCACUAUCGUGGAGACCUAGCAAUAGGAAAACCUGUCCGGCAGCAAUCCUGCCGGCAGUGUAGCCUGCCUUGAGUGGUAAAAUGGGAUGCAGAUUAAAGUUCAAAGAUGCAGGAGCUCAUGCAUUGACGAACCAUGCUGCUGAAAUUUUUACUGCAAAAGAGGCUAGAGGAUAGAGAAGCUGUGGAGGAAAACUCCUAGACUGAUUCGCAAGAAGGUAUGAAAAGGAUUGUAGUGCGGACUAAGUGGUAAUUCAGUACUGUAACAGGCAACUUUGCAGAAGUGUCAUUAAAGGGGAACCGCCUUUUGGCGACAAAGGGUUGAUCCUUGGGAAAUCCAACUGAACCUAAGCCGUAAAAUUUACUAUUCGUACCGCCAUUUUAAUUUUAAUUUGA